AAUCAACGCUGGCGGCGUGCCUAACACAUGCAAGUCGAACGAGAAAGCGGGGGCAACUCCGUGAGUAAAGUGGCGACCGGGUGAGUAACACGUGACUAACCUACCUUCGAGUGGGGGAUAACCUCGGGAAACCGGGGCUAAUACCGCAUAACAUCGUCGGGUGAAAUUCCUGACGAUCAAAGCAGCAAUGGGCUUGAAGAGGGGGUCGCGGCUGAUUAGCUAGUUGGUGAGGUAACGGCCCACCAAGGCAGUGAUCAGUAUCCGGCCUGAGUGGGCGCACGGACACACUGGAACUGAAACACGGUCCAGACUCCUACGGGAGGCAGCAGUGGGGAAUUUUGCGCAAUGGGGGAAACCCUGACGCAGCAACGCCGCGUGGAGGAUGAAGUCCCUUGGGGCGUAAACUCCUUUCGACCGGGACGAUAAUGACGGUACCGGUGGAAGAAGCCCCGGCUAACUCCGUGCCAGCCGCCGCCGUAAAAC
rnacentral:rRNA from 1 species